GACGAACGCUGGCGGCGUGCCUAAUACAUGCAAGUCGAGCGGACGAUUCGAAAGCUUGCUUUUGAAUCGUUAGCGGCGGACGGGUGAGUAACACGUGGGCAACCUGCCCUGUAGACGGGGAUAACACCGAGAAAUCGGUGCUAAUACCGGAUAACACGAAAUGUCGCAUGACGUUUCGGUGAAAGGCGGCGCAAGCUGCCGCUACAGGCUGUGCCCGCGCCGCAUUAGGGAGUUGGUGAGGUAACGGCUCACCAAGGCGACGAUGCGUAGCCGACCUGAGAGGGUGAUCGGCCACACUGGGACUGAGACACGGCCCAGACUCCUACGGGAGGCAGCAGUAGGGAAUCUUCCGCAAUGGACGAAAGUCUGACGGAGCAACGCCGCGUGAGCGAAGAAGGCCUUCGGGUCGUAAAGCUCUGUUGUUAGGGAAGAACAAGUAACGUAGUAACUGACGUUACUAUGACGGUACCUAACGAGAAAGCCACGGCUAACUACGUG
rnacentral:rRNA from 1 species